rnacentral:rRNA from 1 species
UAAGUAGGAUGCAAGCGAUGUCCGGAUUUAUUGGGUUGAAAGGGUGCGUAGGCGACCUAUUAAGUUAGUGGUGAAAACGUUCGGCUUAACCGGAUACCCGCCAUUGAUACUGAUAGACUUGAGUGCGACAGAGGGUGUUGGAAUGUGUGGUGUAGCGGUGAAAUGCUUAGAUAUCACGCAGAACACCAAUUGCGAAGGCAGAUGCCUAUGUCGUAACUGACGCUGAGGCACGAAAGCGUGGGGAGCAAACAGG